rnacentral:rRNA from 1 species
GACGAACGCUGGCGGCGUGCCUAAUACAUGCAAGUUGAGCGAUGAAGAUUGGUGCUUGCACCAAUUUGAAGAGCAGCGAACGGGUGAGUAACGCGUGGGGAAUCUGCCUUUGAGCGGGGGACAACAUUUGGAAACGAAUGCUAAUACCGCAUAACAACUUUAAACAUAAGUUUUAAGUUUGAAAGAUGCAAUUGCAUCACUCAAAGAUGAUCCCGCGUUGUAUUAGCUAGUUGGUGAGGUAAAGGCUCACCAAGGCGAUGAUACAUAGCCGACCUGAGAGGGUGAUCGGCCUCAGUGGGACUGAGACACGGCCCAAACUCCUACGGGAGGCAGCAGUAGGGAAUCUUCGGCAAUGGACGAAAGUCUGACCGAGCAACGCCGCGUGAGGGAAGAAGGUUUUCGGAUCGUAAAACUCUGUUGGUAGAGAAGAACGUUGGUGAGAGUGGAAAGCUCAUCAAGUGACGGUAACUACCCAGAAAGGGACGGCUAACUACGUG